rnacentral:rRNA from 1 species
GAUGAACGCUGGCGGCGUGCUUAACACAUGCAAGUCGAACGAAGCACUUUAUUUGAUUUCCUUCGGGACUGAUUAUUUUGUGACUGAGUGGCGGACGGGUGAGUAACGCGUGGGUAACCUGCCUUGUACAGGGGAAUAACAGUUGGAAACGGCUGCUAAUACCGCAUAAGCGCACAGCAUCGCAUGAUGCAGUGUGAAAAACUCCGGUGGUAUAAGAUGGACCCGCGUUGGAUUAGCUAGUUGGUGAGGUAACGGCCCACCAAGGCGACGAUCCAUAGCCGACCUGAGAGUGUGACCGGCCACAUUGGGACUGAGACACGGCCCAAACUCCUACGGGAGGCAGCAGUGGGGAAUAUUGCACAAUGGGCGAAAGCCUGAUGCAGCGACGCCGCGUGAGCGAAGAAGUAUUUCGGUAUGUAAAGCUCUAUCAGCAGGGAAGAUAAUGACGGUACCUGACUAAGAAGCACCGGCUAAAUACGUG